rnacentral:rRNA from 1 species
UGUAUGGUUAAGUGACUAAGCGUACACGGUGGAUGCCUGGGCAGUCAGAGGCGAUGAAGGACGUACUAACUUGCGAUAAGCGCAGAUAAGGCAGUAAGAGCCGUUUGAGUCUGCGAUUUCCGAAUGGGGAAACCCAACUGCAUAAGCAGUUACUGUUAACUGAAUACAUAGGUUAACAGAGCAAACCGGGGGAACUGAAACAUCUAAGUACCCCGAGGAGAAGAAAUCAACCGAGAUUCCGGUAGUAGCGGCGAGCGAACCUGGAUUAGCCCUUAAGCACUCGGUGAAGUAGGUGAACAAGCUGGAAAGCUUGGCGAUACAGGGUGAUAGCCCCGUAACCGACGCUUCAUCGAGCGUGAAAUC